rnacentral:rRNA from 1 species
AGUGAACGCUGGCGGUAGGCCUAACACAUGCAAGUCGAACGGCAGCACAGUAAGAGCUUGCUCUUACGGGUGGCGAGUGGCGGACGGGUGAGGAAUACAUCGGAAUCUACUUUUUCGUGGGGGAUAACGUAGGGAAACUUACGCUAAUACCGCAUACGACCUACGGGUGAAAGCAGGGGAUCUUCGGACCUUGCGCGAUUGAAUGAGCCGAUGUCGGAUUAGCUAGUUGGCGGGGUAAAGGCCCACCAAGGCGACGAUCCGUAGCUGGUCUGAGAGGAUGAUCAGCCACACUGGAACUGAGACACGGUCCAGACUCCUACGGGAGGCAGCAGUGGGGAAUAUUGGACAAUGGGGGCAAGAAUGAUCCAGCAAUACCGCGUGGGUGAAGAAGGCAUUCGGGUUGUAAAGCCCUUUUGUUGGGAAAGAAAAGCAGCAGGUUAAUACCCCGCUGUUAUGACGGUACCCAAAGAAUAAGCACCGGCUAACUUCGUG